rnacentral:rRNA from 1 species
GACGAACGCUGGCGGCGUGCUUAACACAUGCAAGUCGAACGGAAAGGCCCUGCUUUUGUGGGGUGCUCGAGUGGCGAACGGGUGAGUAACACGUGAGUAACCUGCCCUUGACUUUGGGAUAACUUCAGGAAACUGGGGCUAAUACCGGAUAGGAGCUCCUGCUGCAUGGUGGGGGUUGGAAAGUUUCGGCGGUUGGGGCUGGACUCGCGGCUUAUCAGCUUGUUGGUGGGGUAGUGGCUUACCAAGCCUUUGACGGGUAGCCGGCCUGAGAGGGUGACCGGGCACAUUGGGACUGAGAGACGGCGCAGACUCGUACGGGAGGCAGUAGGGGGGAACAUUGCACAAUGGGCGGAAGCCAGAUGCAGCAACGCUGCGUGCGGGAUGACGUCCUUUGGGUUGUAAACCGCUUUCGACUGUGACGAAGCGGGAGUGACGGUACUGGGUAAAGAAGCACCGGCUAACUACGUG